rnacentral:rRNA from 1 species
AACGAACGCUGGCGGCAGGCCUAACACAUGCAAGUCGAGCGAGGUAGCAAUGCCUAGCGGCGGACGGGUGAGUAACGCGUGGGAACGUACCCUUUGGUUCGGAAUAGCCCCGGGAAACUGGGAGUAAUACCGGAUACGGUCGAGAGACGAAAGAUUUAUCGCCGAAGGAUCGGCCCGCGUUGGAUUAGGUAGUUGGUGGGGUAAUGGCCUACCAAGCCGACGAUCCAUAGCUGGUUUGAGAGGAUGAUCAGCCACACUGGGACUGAGACACGGCCCAGACUCCUACGGGAGGCAGCAGUGGGGAAUCUUAGACAAUGGGCGCAAGCCUGAUCUAGCCAUGCCGCGUGAUCGAUGAAGGCCUUAGGGUUGUAAAGAUCUUUCAGUGGGGAAGAUAAUGACUGUACCCACAGAAGAAGCCCCGGCUAACUCCGUGCCAGCAGCCGCGGUAAUACGGAGGGGGCUAGCGUUGUUCGGAAUUACUGGGCGUAAAGCGCACGUAGGCGGACCUGAAAGUCAGAGGUGAAAUCCCGGGGCUCAACCCCGGAACGGCCUUUGAAACUCUGGGUCUUGAGGUCGAGAGAGGUGAGUGGAAUUCCGAGUGUAGAGGUGAAAUUCGUAGAUAUUCGGAGGAACACCAGUGGCGAAGGCGGCUCACUGGCUCGAUACUGACGCUGAGGUGCGAAAGCGUGGGGA